UACGUAGGGCGCAAGCGUUGUCCGGAUUUACUGGGCGUAAAGAGCGCGCAGGCGGUCGACCAAGUCGCGUGUGAAAGCCCCCGGCUCAACUGGGGAGGGUCACGCGAUACUGAUCGACUCGAAGGCAGGAGAGGGUAGUGGAAUUCCCGGUGUAGUGGUGAAAUGCGUAGAUAUCGGGAGGAACACCAGUGGCGAAGGCGACUACCUGGCCUGUUCUUGACGCUGAGGCGCGAAAGCUAGGGGAGCAAACGGG
rnacentral:rRNA from 1 species